CCUACGGGGGGCAGCAGUGAGGAAUAUUGGUCAAUGGGCGCGAGCCUGAACCAGCCAAGUAGCGUGAAGGAUGACUGCCCUAUGGGUUGUAAACUUCUUUUAUAAGGGAAUAAAGUGAUGCACGUGUGCCAUUUUGUAUGUACCUUAUGAAUAAGGAUCGGCUAACUCCGUGCCAGCAGCCGCGGUAAUACGGAGGAUCCGAGCGUUAUUCGGAUUUAUUGGGUUUAAAGGGAGCGUAGGUGGGUUGUUAAGUCAGUUGUGAAAGUUUGCGGCUCAACCGUAAAAUUGCAGUUGAUACUGGCAGUCUUGAGUACAGUAGAGGUAGGCGGAAUUCGUGGUGUAGCGGUGAAAUGCUUAGAUAUCACGAAGAACUCCGAUUGCGAAGGCAGCUUACUGGACUGCCACUGACACUGAGGCUCGAAAGUGUGGGUAUCAAACAGGAUUAGAUACCCGUGUAGUC
rnacentral:rRNA from 1 species